rnacentral:rRNA from 1 species
GAUGAACGCUAGCGGCAGGCUUAACACAUGCAAGUCGAGGGGUAUAGUUCUUCGGAACUAGAGACCGGCGCACGGGUGCGUAACGCGUAUGCAAUCUACCUUUUACAGGGGGAUAGCCCAGAGAAAUUUGGAGUAAUACCCCAUAGUAUGUUAGAGUGGCAUCAUUUUAACAUUAAAGUUCCAACGGUAAAAGAUGAGCAUGCGUCCCAUUAGCUAUAUGGUAAGGUAACGUCUUACCAUGGCGACGAUGGUUAGGGGUCCUGAGAGGGAGAUCCCCCACACUGGUACUGAGACACGGACCAGACUCCUACGGGAGGCAGCAGUGAGGAAUAUUGGACAAUGGGCGCAAGCCUGAUCCAGCCAUGCCGCGUGCAGGAAGACGGUCCUAUGGAUUGUAAACUGCUUUUGUACAGGAAGAAACACUCCCUCGUGAGGGAGCUUGACGGUACUGUAAGAAUAAGGAUCGGCUAACUCCGUGCCAGCCGCCGCAGUAACAC